rnacentral:rRNA from 1 species
AUGGCGAACAGGACAUGGACGCUCGUGCCGCGCUCCGCUGGCGCCAACAUCGUCUCCGGCAAGUGGCUCUUCUGGCACAAGUUCAAAGCUGACGGGUCGCUCAGACGCUACAAGGCCACGUGGGUCGUCCGCGGUUUCUCUCAACGGCCGGGCGUCGACUUUGAUGUGACAUUCUCCCCCGUCAUCAAGUCUACCAUAAUUCAUGCGGUUCUCGCUAUUGCUACUGGUCGAGACUGGCCGGUGCAUCAGAUGGACGUCAAUAACGCGUUCCUGCAGGGUUACCUCACUGAGCGCGUCUACUGCCAGCAACCGGCCGGCUUCAUCGACGACAGCCGCCCCAGCAUGUCUGCCUCCUCGACAGGUCUCUGUACGGGUUGA